rnacentral:rRNA from 1 species
AGGCAGCAGUGGGGAAUAUUGCGCAAUGGGCGAAAGCCUGACGCAGCGACGCCGCGUGGGGGAGGAAGGCCUCAGGGUUGUAAACCCCUGUCAGGUGGGACGAACCACGGAUCGGUCAAUACCCGGUCCGCUUGACGGUACCACCAGAGGAAGCUCCGGCUAACUCCGUGCCAGCAGCCGCGGUAAUACGGAGGGAGCGAGCGUUGUUCGGAAUCACUGGGCGUAAAGCGCGCGUAGGCGGUCGAGUAAGUCGGGUGUGAAAUUCCGGGGCUCAACCCCGUGGACUGCACCCGAUACUGCCCGACUUGAGAGAGGUAGGGGCGAGUGGAAUUCCCGGUGUAGCGGUGGAAUGCGUAGAUAUCGGGAAGAACACCGGUGGCGAAGGCGGCUCGCUGGGCCUCAUCUGACGCUGAAGCGCGAAAGCGUGGGGAGCAAACAGGAUUAGAUACCCUGGUAGUCCACGCCCUAAACGAUGCGAACUGGAUGUUGGGUGCAAUUUGGCACGCAGUAUCGAAGCUAACGCGUUAAGUUCGCCGCCUGGGGAGUACGGUCGCAAGACUGAAACUCAAAUGAAUUGACGG